GAAAUGCGAUAAGUAAUGUGAAUUGCAGAAUUCAGUGAAUCAUCGAAUCUUUGAACGCACAUUGCGCCCGCCAGUAUUCUGGCGGGCAUGCCUGUUCGAGCGUCAUUUCAACCAUCAAGCCCCCGGCUUGUGUUGGGGACCUGCGGCUUCCCGCAGGCCCUGAAAAACAGUGGCGGGCUCGCUGUCACACCGAGCGUAGUAGCAUACAUUCUCGCUCAGGGCGUGCUGCGGGUUCCGGCCGUUAAACGACCUUCAUAACCCAAGGUUGACCUCGGAUCAGGUAGGAAGACCCGCUGAACUUAAGC
rnacentral:misc_RNA from 1 species